GUACACUCCUGCGGGAGGCAGCAGUGGGGAAUUUUGGACAAUGGGCGAAAGCCUGAUCCAGCAAUGCCGCGUGUGUGAAGAAGGCCUUCGGGUUGUAAAGCACUUUUGUCCGGAAAGAAAUCCUUGGCUCUAAUACAGUCGGGGGAUGACGGUACCGGAAGAAUAAGCACCGGCUAACUACGUGCCAGCAGCCGCGGUAAUACGUAGGGUGCGAGCGUUAAUCGGAAUUACUGGGCGUAAAGCGUGCGCAGGCGGUUUGCUAAGACCGAUGUGAAAUCCCCGGGCUCAACCUGGGAACUGCAUUGGUGACUGGCAGGCUAGAGUAUGGCAGAGGGGGGUAGAAUUCCACGUGUAGCAGUGAAAUGCGUAGAGAUGUGGAGGAAUACCGAUGGCGAAGGCAGCCCCCUGGGCCAAUACUGACGCUCAUGCACGAAAGCGUGGGGAGCAAACAGGAUUAGAUACCCUAGUAGUCCCA
rnacentral:rRNA from 1 species